CGGCGUCAAUCUUCUUUAGACACUGGAAUGUCAUGCAAAAGGUUGGCAACCAUUAAAAUCAGGCGCCAGUUUCAAAUUUAAGGAAAAAGCUUUUAGUUUGACUAGUUUGGCCUUAAAUUUGAAAUUAAUUUUGGAUUUACAAUAAUUUACCAACAAUAUUAAUUGUAGUGAAUAACUCUGUAAGAUUUUCUUUCUUAAACAAUCUUGAGUAAAG